rnacentral:lncRNA from 1 species
UUUCCCCGUCUCCUCUCUCUCUUUUUUUCCUCCUUCUUCUUUCCUGUCUCUUCUGUUUCUUAUCUUCUUCUUCUUGAAAAAUAGCAACCUAUAAAGUGUUUCUCUCAGACUCUGCUCUCUUCCGAGAAUUUGAUUCAAACUCGGCCCUGGAUCUCUCUUUUAGUUCAAGUUUCUUUUCUUGCUUAUGUUGAUUUUCUUUACUGGGAGGAAAAAUCUGGUUUUGGGUUUAGUUGGUGUUGAUUGUGAAAUUUGGUGA